rnacentral:rRNA from 1 species
UGCAAAUCAAUAUAAAUUGAUUAUACUUAAAAUUUAUUUAUUAAUUUUUAUUUUAUUUAUUAUAAUUUAUUAAAAAUAAUUAUAUAAUUUAAUGUUUUAGUAAUUUUUAUUGAAAAAAUAAUUUUUAUAAUAGUUUAUUAUGUAUUGUGAAAGAAUAUUGAAAUAUUUUGAAAAAUUUUUAUUUGAGAAGAAAAUUUUAUUUAUUGUACCUUGUGUAUCAGGGUUUAUCAAAUAAUUAUUAAAUAUUUAAUUAUCUCGAUUUUAUAAGAGUUAAUAAUUUAUAAAAUUUAUUGUGUCAAAACUAUUUUAAAUAAAUUAUUAGAAAUGAAAUGUUAUUCGUUUAUAAAGGUAUCUAGUUUUUUUAGAAAUAAAUUUAAUUUACAAAUUUUUAAUUUUUUGUUUAUUUAUUUAAAUUAAAAAAUUAUUAAUUUGAAUAUUUUAAGGGAUAAGCUUUAAAAUAAAUUAUUAAAAAUUAAUAAUAAUUGGAUAUAAAUGUAUGUGUAGAAUUAUCAAUCAUUUAUAAGUUUAUUAUAAAUUAUUUUAUUUUUUAUAUUAUUUAUUAUAUUUUAAUUUUUUAUAAAAAAAUUUUUUUUAAUAGUAUAAGAAAAUAAAUAAUGGUAAAAUUAGUAUAUUUUAUUGUCUAUAUAAUUUAAUAUGGUAAGUUUAUAUAAAGAAUUCGGCAAAUUAAUAUACUCGCCUGUUUAACAAAAACAUGUCUUUUUGAAGUUUAUAAAAAGUCUGACCUGCCCACUGAAUAAUUUUAAAUGGCUGCAGUAUCCUAACUGUGCAAAGGUAGCAUAAUCAUUAGUCUUUUAAUUGAAGGCUGGAAUGAAUGGUUGGACGAAGUAUAAUCUGUUUCAUUUAAAUUUAUAAUAGAAUUUUAUAUUUUAGUUAAAAAGCUAAAAUUUUAUUAAAAGACGAGAAGACCCUAUAAAUCUUUAUAUUUUAUAAUAUAUAAAUUUUUUGGAUUUAUUUUAUUUUUAUUUUAUAAAUUAUUUUGUUGGGGUGAUAUUAAAAUUUGNAUAACUUUUAAUUAUUUUUAAAUCAUUAAUUUAUGAUUUUUUGAUCCGUUAAUAACGAUUAUAAGAUUAAGUUACUUUAGGGAUAACAGCGUAAUUUUUUUGGAGAGUUCAUAUCGAUAAAAAAGUUUGCGACCUCGAUGUUGGAUUAAGAUAAUUUUUAGGUGUAGCCGCUUAAAUAUUAAGUCUGUUCGACUUUUAAA